AGAGCGAACGCUGGCGGCAGGCCUAACACAUGCAAGUCGAGCGCCCCGCAAGGGGAGCGGCAGACGGGAGAGUAACACGUGGGAACGUACCCUUCAGUUCGGAACAACCCAGGGAAACUUGGGCUAAUACCGAAUACGUCCGUAAGGAGAAAGAUUUAUCGCUGAAGGAUCGGCCCGCGUCUGAUUAGCUUGUUGGUGAGGUAACGGCUCACCAAGGCGACGAUCAGUAGCUGGUCUGAGAGGAUGAUCAGCCUCACUGGGACUGAGACACGGCCCAGACUCCUACGGGAGGCAGCAGUGGGGAAUAUUGGACAAUGGGCGCAAGCCUGAUUCAGCCAUGCCGCGUGGGUGAUGAAGGCCCUAGGGUUGUAAAGCCUUUCGGCGGGAAGAUAAUGACGGUACCGCAGAAGAGCCCGGCUAACUCGUGCCAGCAGCCGC
rnacentral:rRNA from 1 species